AGUGAACGCUGGCGGCAGGCCUAACACAUGCAAGUCGAGCGGCAGCGCGUCCGACCACCCUCGGGUGGUCGGAUGGCGGCGAGCGGCGGACGGGUGAGGAAUGCAUCGGAAUCUGCCUCGUUGUGGGGGAUAACGUAGGGAAACUUACGCUAAUACCGCAUACGACCUACGGGUGAAAGUGGGGGACCUUCGGGCCUCACGCGAUUGGAUGAGCCGAUGUCCGAUUAGCUAGUUGGCGGGGUAAUGGCCCACCAAGGCGACGAUCGGUAGCUGGUCUGAGAGGAUGAUCAGCCACACUGGAACUGAGACACGGUCCAGACUCCUACGGGAGGCAGCAGUGGGGAAUAUUGGACAAUGGGCGCAAGCCUGAUCCAGCCAUGCCGCGUGGGU
rnacentral:rRNA from 1 species